CCUCAUGACACACAUAUUUCAAACGUGCCGUUGUUGUGUGCCUCCGUGUGGUGGCUCGUUCUCGUAACUCGUGGAUCGAACCGCUCGCGGGCCCUACCGGCCGAAAAGCUUGCGGCGGUGGACACGAGAGGAGGAGGGGGAGGAGUAGAAGAGGAUGGUAGGAUGAGGACGGCAGAGGAAGAGGGAGUUGAAGGGGCUCAAGUGGUGUCGUCUCGCCUUUCUGUAGUUCUAGCUUCCGCUGCGCAGGAAGUAGCCGUUGCGUAGGUACCCUAGCUAGCUGUACUCGCGUUUGAACAUGCCAUCGCAGUCGGCCCGCAGGAUGUUGUGGGUCGGCCACGUUGAGACCCUGUUCCGCCGGCCGUUCCACCGGUCGAAGUGGUGCGCCAAGCUCAAGGAGUACAGGUCGCCGUCAUUGCUGCUCCACCCGUACCGGAAAAAGGAGCGGCCGAUAGGCAGAUCGGAGGGACGGCCGCCGUGACAGGUGUCGGAGCCGGAGUGGCUGGUUUUGCGUCUGAGGCACCGCAGGCCGCUGUCGGCCAAACAUCGCCACCGCAAGCUGUGGAAGUUGUUAGGUUACCGCAGACUGGGGUGGCGGUCGAUGCUAAUACUGGUGUAGCCGUAGAUGCAGUUGAGGGAGUCUAGCCACUCGUGUGACUUCAACGUCCCGAGGUGAGAGUGCUCGCCGUGGGACUAAAACAGGCACUAGCUCAUGCUGUUACAGAGGUUGCAGAAUCGCCAGUGCAAUACCCUAGUUCUGGUUGUCUCAAUGAUGGAAUUGAGGUUCCAACUGGACUUCUCGCGUGACGGCCUCGUCCAGAGGUAACCGAAGAGGCGGAGGUGCAGGUCGCCGCUCACGCGGCGGCGGCGGCAGCAGCCUUUUAGUACCUCUGCCUUCUCAUGAUGUGUCUGAGUCUUCUUCUGCUUCCGCUCGGCUACAGGCCCCUGCCCCGGUUCCGCCAAGGGUAUGGUGCUCGAGCACCUUGGCUGGUCCUUGAAGCGGCGCCUCCUCUUCGAACCCGUUCCGCCGAAACCGCGGCAUAUGGUUCCGAUAAACUCUCUCGGUCGACCCGAACGGCACCGGUAUUUUUCCAACGUCAGAAGGUAUGUUCCUUUCUUCCUCAUGUUUAGGCUCCAGUUCCACUAUUCGUCCGACGCAGUGGCCUUGGAGCACGUCGAGUAGCCGACCACAGUACCGGUACUAGUCCUCGAGGACGACCAGAUGCUCGAGUACGGGUUGGCAUCGGAGCUGUAGGUAGAGGUACCGUUCGUCCCGUGGAAGGAGUGUACCCUUUACUCCUACUUCUAUAACGACCUCGAACCCAGACGGGACGAGAUGGAAGUGCUCCUCACCCUCGUUACGCACGAAGUGGCCCUGUAGUUCGGGUCGUUGCAGUACGAACUGCUCAGGAAACCGCGGUUCGAUCCGCUGAAGCCCGAUCGGUCCGAACAACUGGUGCGGCGACCCUACGUCUGGUACUGGCGUUAGAGCCCUUGAGGUCCGAUGAACCUGGGGCUAACGCACUUGUGGCCGUUCCGGUCGCGGCUCAGGCUGCACAUGUCGAAGCCACACCAAGAUGACCUCCACCGUACGCCGUCCUCCGGUUACUCGUAUUGGGGCCGGCUGGUCCUGUUCGUCUUCUUACCGCCGCAGAAGGCCGACCAGCUCACCCAGACCCCUGAUAUACCGGCCCCUAGGUAGGAACUCCGGCGGCUGCUCGCCGACUUACCACUGAUGCUGCGCCGUCUCCACCUCUGCCACUACCAGCAGCCCAACACCACGCGCGUGGGUUUGGGUUCGCACGCCGGCAGGUAGGCCUGUCGGUACCGGUGCGAGGUCGGGUUCCAGCUGGUUCGGAUGGUCGACGGGCACGAAGGAAGGUUCUACGGUCACGGGUACAUACUCGGCCGCGGCGGCGAGAGGACCCGGUUACAGCAACCCUACAGUAGUAGUAGGAGGGUGUGGUAACCCUACAGCAGCAGCUGCAGCAGGUCGUACGGCGACGUGUGAAGAAUACUGGUACUAUUUGUAUUUUAGUGAACAAGAGACUUAUCAAAUACCACGAGUUGUCUGCCUUUGUUGUAGUUCUAGCUUCCGCUGCGUAGGAAGUUGCAGCCUACCUAGCUGUAGUUGCGGUUAUCCGUGUUACCAUAGCUUCCGUCGUUACCAGCCCGUACCAUGUUGCGGGUCGGCUACAACGAGACCCUGUUCCGCUGUCCGCUCCACCUGUCGAAGUGGUGCGCGAAGUGCAAGCGGUAACAUCCACUGUAUUUGUUGUUCCCCGUCCCGUACCGGAAAAAGGUGUGGCGAGUUAGAUCGUACGGCCGGUUGACGGGGUCGAUGUAGGAGCCGGAGUGGCUGGUCUCGGGUCCGCUCGACCGGAGGCCACUGUCGGCCAAGCACCGCCAUCUCAAGCUGUGAAAGUUAUUAUGUCUACACGGACUGGGGCUGUGGUCGAUACUGGUGUAACCGUAUCUGCAGUUGAGGGAUCAUAGCUACCUUUGUAACAGGGAUCUCUCGAAACUGGAGUACCUGUUGGACUGGCGGCUCUAGCUCAUGCUACCGCAAAGGUCGUAGAAUUUAUACUGUCAUACCGAGCCACUACUAUUUAUACCGGCCGGCUCUCCGUCCUAAAUGACCGAAUCGAAGCUCCAACUGGAGUUCUCACGUGACGGCCUCGUCCAGAGGCAACCGAAGAGGCGCAGGUGCAGGUGCAGGCGCCUUCACGUAGUCAAUGUGAGAACCAGGAAGUUGAGAAGCAACCUUGGUGUCCGGGGUGGUGGUGGUGGUGGUGGUGGUGGUGGUGGUCCCGCUCCGGGUCCGUUCGGCUACUGCCUCUAUCGCUACUCCUACCCCGGUUCUACCAAGGGUAUGGUCCUCAACCACCUUCGGUGCUCCUUGAAGCGGCGCCUGCUCUUCGAACCCGUUCCACCGCAGCCGCGACAUAUGGCUCCGAUAGACUCUCCUCUCGGUCGACCAGAUCCUCAACGGUAUUUCUCUAAGAGGUUGAGGUUCGUACUCCUCAGAAGGUAAGUUCCUCUUUCCCUCAUGUCCAGUCUCUAGUUCCACUAUUCCUCCGACGCAGUGGCCUUGGAACACGUCGAGGAGCCGACCACGGUACUGGCGCUCCUCGACAACGACCAGAUGCUCGAGUACGGGUUGGCGUCGGAGCUGUAGGUAGAGGCACCGUUCGUCCCGUGGAAGGAGUGCACCGGUUACUCCUACUUCUAUAACGACCUCGAACCCAGACGUGACGAGAUU
rnacentral:rRNA from 1 species